ensembl:lncRNA
AUGUCUACAACUAACAAAACCUCUAAUCCAAUGAGGACAUUGUCCAGUACACGUUCGUGGCCCCUCGUUGAAGGCUUUGAUGCUUAUGUUACUCAUUUUGAUAUUUGUGCCUUUCACGGUGCCUGUCCUCAGAUAUUUUUUGGAGCCUGGGGAAGGGCAGUUCGAGUUCUGCAUCUAUAACCUCAAAUCGCCGACUCCAGGUUGGGCCAUUCUCCAGAACUGAGCCAGUUUUCAAACAGCUUAAAAGGUGAGUAGAACUACACACUCUCCUCUUUGAUAAUGUUUGACAGGCACAGCUUGUCACGGAUGAACCAUUCAGAGAUGGUUCCUCUCAAGAAAGUGGUCCCAACUCCUAGGUCCCCAAACCAUCUAACCAGUGUAACUUUUUCUGAUAGGAAUGGCGUGAUAACAGAGUAAAUGUGACUUUUCUUCUUUAAUACACAAGUAUAUUCACAGUGGACUGUGAAUGUAUGUAAAAUGUAUAUUUCUCUUUUUCCAGCUUUAUUAGGAUAUAAUUGACAUAUAACAUGUGUAAGCUUAAGUUGUAUAGUGUGUUGAUUUGCAAUACCCAUGUGUUUCAAAAUGCUUGCCAGCAGAGCAUUAGCUAAUACCCCCAUCACAUCAGCUAAUUAUCAUUUCUUCUUUGUGGUGAGAACGUGAAAUAGGUAUUUCUAGAUUUUCGAGACUAUCUGAAGACAAAUAACCUUACUGUUCCAUUUGUAUUUAUUGCUGAGCCUGAGUGUUUAAAACAUCUAAGAUGGGGGAGAAACAGGAUGCUGUUUUUCUCCUUCUGGGUUUUUGUUCUGCUUGGCUCCCAGCCUCACGAAAUGGGAGUCAGAGCAGGACUGCUGUGAGAGGCGAGGGGCACCCGUGCUUUGCAGGGCCCCUGGCAUGGAGCACCCGGAAUGGGCACCGGCUCCCCGCUCCUGCUGAUGGAAGGGCGGGCAGCUGGCUUUUCUUUCACUGUUGGGAGCACAGCUGACCUGUGCUGUGAAGGGGUGUGACCUCCUGAUAGGCUGCCUUCUUGUCCCUGUGUGUUUCUUCUUGGAGGGUGGGAUAUAAGUGGCCCGGCCUCAGGGCAUCUGGGGUAGAAGCUUGGGUGGCAGUUGUGUGUGGUCACCUCUGCAUGUCCUCAGACACAGAGCCCAGCUUAGAGCCACCCCAGUGUGGGUGGUCAGCGCAGGUGCCAGCCUAGAGCAUCCCGCCGGCCUGGCUCGGAGCUGCCCAGAGAGACUUGUCAGGUGAAGUGACUGAUGGAGGUCCCAGAGGCCUUUUUAUUUAUGGUGGUGGCAGGAACAGACAAGGCUCUUGGAGAGCCAGCAAGGGUGUAAUGUGCUUCUUCACUGAGAGCCUUGAGUGUCCGUGGCCUCUGUGGAGGUUGGAAGCUUCCAGAAACCCCCAGAGGCAGGGUGGACCUCCCAGACCGCCCCGUGUCAUGUUGGGUGGUCCACACAAAGCUCUUACCUGAGUAACUCUCACUGUCAAGUCUGCAGACUGGAGCCCAUUUGCUCAGCUGUCACGGGGGUGCCGGGGGCCAGUAGUGGCUCUCAGGCUGCUUGGUGACCCACAAGACGUUCCCCCAGCUCCCCUGCCAGACAAGAUGCUCCCGAAGUGGGAGCGGUGGUAAUGAGUGCCGCUUUCCUCCCACCAUUGGGUACACCUGCCGCUGGCAGCUGGUCUUCAGCAGAGCUGUGCGCUAUCCUCCUGCCAUCGCCCUGUCCUCACCCCGCAAAGCCCGAAACUUCAAGUAGGAUUUUACUGAGUACCUAUGCACACCCCUGGGCCCUGUCCCUAAGUACCAUGCAGCUGGAUUUACCACAUUUCCACAGAAGUAAAAAUAAUUCCUGCAAAUUACCUAUGUUAGCCGGCUUCCUCCCAUAUAUGGAAUCACCUCCUUCCCUCGGCUAUUUUAAGCGACUUUUAAAAUCGGUAAUGGAAAACUUUGUCUUGACAAUGUUACUGUAUAUAGAUUUUAAAUUAAAAGUUGGUCUGCAUUGCUCCUUCUGAACGUGAUUGCUGUUGAGAGGCCAGGUCCCCGUCGGCAGAGCCGCGUGCCGUGUUGUGCACUGUGGGUCAUUUUCAAGCAUACCUGGGUUCUCAGGUAUUGUGAGAAUUCUCACACCUCUAAACAGGUUCUGACAGCUGACUGUCCUGGAAUUUAUAUUUGCUCCAUUAUCCAUGAAGUUCUGUCCUAGCUCUCUUCUGGCUUCUUUCAAGCUCACAGCUGGACAGCAUGGACUGGUGGCAUUGCCACUCUGUCUGCUGGGCUGGGAGGCCCAGAGAGGUCUGGAUUUUUUUGUUAACUGCAGAAUGUGCCUGUCUUACUCUAUGGUGGAUUUUUUGGACUUGGUUUUAAAAUCGGGUUGUGUCAUGGGGGAAAAUUUAAAAACAUUGUCCUCCCUGAUAAAUCUGAAGACAGGUGCCUCUUUGCCGUAAUGCACUUGUAAGGUGCAUUUGGAAAUAGGCUUUGACUUGAGGCUGUGCCCCUUUAUCCACUUUGUUACUCUGGCCAGUCUCAGGUUGUCUCAUCUUUAAGUGGGAAGUAACUGUUCUUUGGAGUUGCUGUUAAGAUGCUUAACUCGGGGAGUUCCUGUCAUGGCUCAGUGGUUAAAGAAUCCGACUAGGAACCAUGAGGUUGCGGGUUGGAUCCCUGGCCUCGCUCAGUGGGUUAAGGAUCCGGCAUUGCUGUGAGCUGUGGUGUAGGUCGCAGACGCGGCUCGGAUCCUGCGUGGCUGUGGCUAUGGCUAUGGUAUAAGCCAGCAGCUGUAGCUCUGAUUCAACCCCUAGCCUGGGAACCUUCAUAUGCUGUGGGUGUGGCCCUAGAAAAGAC